GGUGAGAGGCUCUCUAUACAAACAUAGUUUUCUGUCUGUGGAACAGUUUGGUUACCUCCGUGCGUUGUGUGUUGACGUCGAUGGUGAUGCAGAACGGAGCGAUCAAGGUGGGAGCAUGGGGAGGGAACGGAGGGUCGGCCUUCGACAUGGGACCUGCUCAUCGUAUCAUCAGCGUCAAGAUUUUUUCCGGAGACGUGGUCGACGCCGUGGACGUCACCUUCACCUACUACGGGAAGACGGAGACCCGACACUUCGGUGGCAGCGGUGGUACUCCCCACGAGGUUCNNNNNNNNNNNNNNNNNNNNUUAUCAGAGCAAUUGCAUCACUGAUUGGUUUGAGACUUCAGCCUUUAGGAUCGCAUAAAUAUAUAAACGAAAAUAAAUUAAUUUGAUGUAGAUAGUGAUUGGAGCAAUAUUUUUUGGGUUUGUCAAUUGACUUCGCAGUGGUGUUAUAUGAGCACUCAUACAUGAAGAUUUUUUUGGCGUAAUUGUCUUGCCUUAGACCUUUAGUCAUGCGAUUACUCACGAUCUAUAAAAUUAAUUUUUAUAUUUUAUAUUAUCUAUCUAGUGUUUUUAUAUAAAUAUUUAUUUAUGAGAUCUCGAGUUUCGUACUUUUACUAAUCCGUUUUCUUUUUUUAAGCUUUUAGAAGAUUUAAGGAGAUUACGAUGAGGCUAAUCCUUGAUGAACAUACAAGGGUACUCCACAAUCUAGAUAAAAUCAACUAAAUCUGUAAAUCUCUAAUUACACACGUAACCAUCAACCUAGAAAAGAAGAAUAAAUCAACAUAAAUGAGAUGAGAAUAUAUCUCUAAAAAGAAUCCUUGACUAUUAAAAGGGGAAUCCAUUAGAUCAAAUAAUUAUUUAAUCCUUACAUAAAAGGUAGUAUUGAUCUUUCAAUGUAGAAUUGCUAGAUGUUCAUUACAUAAAAAGUAAAAGAAAAUUAGGAACCCAUUAGCAAAUCAGCACCGUUUUAAAAAGUACAAUUUGUGGGCAAAGAUCCAAAAGUCGUACAAGCUGAUGAACAAAACGAUGUGGGCAAAGAUCCAAAAGUCGUACAAGCAGAUGAACAAAACGAUAUGGGGACUCUGGGUUUUGUGGUCCAACAUGCAAUAAUUCAUCAUUGAUUUCAUAAAAGUUAUGGUUCACCUCAAAGGAGGAAACGCUUUCGUCUAGAAUAGAGGAAUCACAACAGGAAAUGCCAAGCCAUGAAAAAUAUAGUAGAAAAUAUUUUCUUUAGAGUCAAUUGGAGAUUUACUCGAGUCUGAAUAGCACUGGUCGGAGUGUCCCUUCCAAAGGAAGAUUUCAAAAACAUACAAAGUUGCAGAUUAUUUCUAUCAUAGAAUGGAAAUAUUGUGGAGCUCAGUUGUUCGUUGGAUUUGUGCUCAACGUCCUAGUUUAAAUUUGAUGUUAGAUAGAUUAAAAAAAGAGAAUUAAUCACCGAUAAAGUUGGUGGAAGUGACAUUAAAUUUAUACAAUUAAAGUGAAACAUUGAAGUCUAAAUGUACGAUCUUAUCUGUGCAUUGAUCAUCUUCUUUUGGGAUGCUCUAAUGGUGAGGAAGGAGGAAAAGUAAAGGGUGUGAGCUAUCGAUGAAUUCACUUUUUGUAUUAUGUUUGUAAAAGGUAUAAAAUAUAAUAUUAUAUUUACGAAAAGUAUGAACACUAUUUUUUUUAAUGUUAUUAAGUAAUAAGGUAAAUUUUAUUAAGAAAGAAGAGAAGAAUAAAAAUCAUGUUUUUCUAAUGACUUAUAAUAAUUCGAAAGAAAAUUGAUUUAUGAUAUAGUAUCUAGAUACAAGAGCUUUAAAUUAUAUAUGUUACAUUAAAGAAUGUUUUCUGAACUAAAUAUAAGUUAUUUCGGUAAUAUUAUAUUUGGUGAUCUAUCUCAAAUACUAGUAAGAGGGUAAAAUUUUUCUUAAACUUAACAAUGACAAAGAAUUAUAUAUUUUAGAUGUUUAUAAUGUUCCUAAUAUGAAAAAUAAUAUUAGAAGCUUGGAAUAAUUAUUCAAAAAAGAUUAUGAUAUUUAGAUGAAAGAUAUGACUCUUUCAAUUCCUAAUAAGAAUUGAAUAAGAAUAAAAAUAUUAAUUUUACAUGUGAAAAUAAUAAAAAAAAUAGAGUGUUUUCUCUAUAUUUUUAUUUUUUUAUCAGUCAAAUUAUUUUAAAACUUAUAUUAACGAUAAUUUUAUAUUAUGACAUCUUAGAUAGGUUGAUUUAAAUUUUAAGACUUCAAAACUUCUAGAGAAAUAUAAUAUAGUAAUAGGAUUGCUAAGAAUUGAUUGUCAAUCAAAAUUAUAUAAAGUGUGUGACUUAGGCAAGCAAUAAAGAAAACUUUUAAAAUUAAGAAGAAUAAAAAGAUCAUAUCAUUGACUAGAUCUAGUAUACUUUGUGACCCUAUUAGUCCAGUAUUAAUUAGAGAAAGCUAUUUUCUUAUCUUCGCUAAUGAUCAUAGUGACAAUUUAGGUUUACAUGUUAAAUGAAAAGAAAUAAGUUCUAAACAAAUUAAAAAAAAUUAAGUAUUUACUUAAAAAACAAAGUAGUUGUAAGGCUAAAUAUUUAAGAACAGAUAAUAGUAGUAAAUAUAUAUCAUAUGAAUUUAUUUUUUUUUAUAAAAAUAAUAAAAUUUUACAUUAAUUCACUAUGUUAUACAUAUCUUAAUAAAAUGAUAUAUCAAAAAGAUAAAAUAGGACUAUACUUAAAUAUAUAUGCAUAUGAUAGUGUGUGUAUAUAUAUACCAUAUAUGAACUCUCUUGUCUCCCAACACGUUUUCAUGUGUGGAUCGCCACGCCAUAUCCUUAUCCGCUCCUCUUUCAUUAUUGACCAACCACCAGCUGUGAUCGUCACUGGUCACGUCUUCGUCAUCGUCGAGAUGCUCCACGAGACCCUUAUCACGUGAUACACGCUUUCCUCGAGGAAGCCACGGACGAGGGGGUGGGCGGUACACCUCCACUCCACCCCGAGAUCAGAGCCAUGGCGAUCCGCUAUAAGUAGCCUCCCUCCAUCUCUCCCUCUUCCCCAACAUCAUCUUCCGCAGAAGAAAGGGAGGAGUUUGGUGCACACAACACGAUGGUGAGAGGCUCUCUAUACACACAUAGUUUUCUGUCUGUGGAACAGUUUGGUUACCUCCGUGCGUUGUGUGUUGACGUCGAUGGUGAUGCAGAACGGAGCGAUCAAGGUGGGAGCAUGGGGAGGGAACGGAGGGUCGGCCUUCGACAUGGGACCUGCUCAUCGGAUCAUCAGCGUCAAGAUUUUUUCCGGAGACGUGGUCGACGCCGUGGACGUCACCUUCACCUCCUACGGGAAGACGGAGACCCGACACUUCGGUGGCAGCGGUGGUACUCCCCACGAGGUUUGCAUCACUACCAAUCUCAAAGCUCAUAGAUGACUGUAGAUUAAUGGCUUCUACUUGGAUGCAGAUUGUUCUGCAGGAGGGCGAGUAUCUGGUGGGAAUGACGGGAGAAUUUGGUAACUACCAUGGAGUGGUGGUGUUGGGGAAGCUUGGCUUCCGCACCAACAAGAAAUCCUACGGACCUUUCGGCAACACGGGAGGGACUCCCUUCUCCCUUCCUAUAGCAGCAGGCAAGAUCUCGGGCUUCUUCGGCCGUGGCGGCGAUUUUCUUGACGCCAUUGGGGUCUACUUGGAGCCAUAAUUGGACACUGCAGUAAAUCACAAGAGUUGCUAUGUGCAACUUCGAGUGAUGAGAUGAACGAUGUCUGCAAUAAAUGGAUCGGUGUUUGCCAUCCCCAGUUGUUGUUGGAUGUCGCUUGGAAUAAUAAUGAUAUGGUGUGUUAUCAUCAGAGCAAUUGCAUCACUGAUUGGUUUGAGACUUCAGCCUUUAGGAUCGCAUAAAUAAAUAAACGAAAGCAAAUUAAUUUGUUGUAGAUAGUAAUUGGAGUAAUAAUUUUGGCGGUAAUGUUUGAUAGUAUUAUAUGAAAUUCUCGAAUAGAUAUUUAUUUUAUUUAAAAUAUUUUUUUAAAUAUCUAUAUGAACAUGCUCUCUAUAUCAAAUUUAAUUUGAUGGAAACAUCUCUAUAUCUAUAUAUAGAUGAUUUAAUUUUUAUAGAUAAUAAUAUUUCCAUGAUCACAUAUCUUAAACACUCUAAGAAGGAGCUUGAGAUUAUCGAUUUGUGCCCAAUUGACUUAUUUCCUUGGGUUCGAAGUUGUAUAAAACAAUAAAAGAAUUUUAAUCUCACAGAAAAAUUAAACAAAGAGAUCUUAAAAAAAAUUUCAAUGGAAAAUUGUCAACUUAUUGAUACACCUGUGAAGUAUAAGACCAAGUUGACUAAGAAAGAUGAAGAGAAAUCAAUUAAUCCAACUAAUGGUAAAAGUCUAGUUAGAUGUUUAAGAUAUUUGAUAUGCACUCAACUCGAUAUAUUAUUUAGAGUUAGUUAAUAAGUAGCUAAAUAGAAGCUCCUAAGACAUCUCAUAUCGCUAAAAAUUUUUACGACAUACUAAAUGAACAAUUAAUUAUGAUCGGGUAGGAAACUACAAUGAUCAUAAGAGUGUAAUCGGAUUUAAUCUUUAUUUUGGUGAAACUACAUUCACAUGCUCUUAAAAAAAAAACUAUUGUUGCACUAUCAAAGUAGAAUAUAUAAUAGUAUUUUCUUAUAUUUAUCAUAUAAUAUGAUUAAAAAUAUUACUUCAAGAACUUCAUGUGUUAUGGGAGAAGUUAAUCAAUAUUUAUAUUGAUAACAAAUCAGCUAUUAUAUUAUUUAUAAACCCAAUCUACUAUAAAAGAUCGAAGCAUACCAACACAAGAUUUUAUUUUAUAAGUGGCCAUUUCGAAAACAAAGAAGUGAAGCUACUUCGACAAUCCAACAAGUGAUUGAUAUACUUAUAAAAUCUCUCAAUAUUUCAAAAACUUUGAUAAAAACUUAUGUUAGAUGAAACAGGUAAGAUACAUUGAAUAAAUCAAAUUGAUUAUUAAUUCUUGUAAGGAGUUUUUUUAAAGAGAGAUUCAUGUUAAAUAUAAUGAAUAUAAUGUAUUUAUGAUGACUAUAUAAAACUCAUGUGUUGGGUUAUAAAAUAUAUAAUUUUUUUAAAAUUAUAAUAAAUUCUUUUUUGAGUAAAUUUACUUUGAGUGAUAGCCCUAUCAUUUCUAUUUAUCUAUUGGCACAAGGGGAGGGAACCGAGGGUCGACGUUUGACAUGAGACCUGCUUAUCGUAUCAUCAGCGUCAAGAUCGGUGCAGGAGGCGUGGUCGACUGCAUGAACGUCACUUUCACCUACUACGGUGGUACUUCCCACGAGGUUUGUAUCACUCUCAAUCUCAAAGCUCAUAGCUGAAUGCAGAUUAAUGGCUUCUACUUGGAUGCAGAUUGUUCUCGAGGAGGACGAGCAUGCGGUGGGAAUGGAGGGAGAGGUUGCUACGUACCAUGGACUGGUGUUCGUAGGAAAGCUUGGUUUCAUCAUCAACAAGAAAGCUUGAUAUUGCCAUUCUUGUAUGUUUCUUGGAAUAAUAAUGAUGUGGUGUGCUUUUAUUAAAGCAAUUGCAUUACUAAUUGGCUCGGUCGGGACUUCAGUCUUUUGCAUGGCAUAAAUAGACCAAAACAAAUUAAGUUGGUGUAGAUAGUGAUUGGGUAUUGGUGUUGAUAGAAAUUGGGCCAUCUAGGAAUAUAAUUCUAAUUCUAUUCAUAUCUGAAAUAUGAUGUUAUCUUUUUAUUAAAUUAUGCUGUCAAUAAUAUAAAUAAUAAAAAAUGGGUAAGUUUGAAAUAUGUCAUUUGCCAAACAAAACAAAAUUAUAUUUGACAGCUGUAAGUAGACCUUAUUUUAAGUUUUUUUAAUAGAAUUUUAUGAUUGAUAUAAUUUAAUAUGAGUCUAAUAUGAAUUGACAAAAUAAAAAAAAAAAAUCUAAUUUUAUCUUUUAAUCUCACAUUUAUUUUAAUAUUCCUCUCAUUUUUAUCUUUGCUUAAUUAUCUACUAUCCCAACUAUGCAUAACUAAAUCGAUUUAUUUUCCUUCACAUGUUUGGUCCUCAACUUCAUUUAUUUUAAACACAAUUAAACUUAUUUAAGUCUUGAGAAUUAUUUAAGGUAUAUUAUAAUAAGAAAGUCUCUUCUGAUUAUUAUAUCUAUACUUAUUGUCAUAAUUUAACCUCAAGUUACUAAUACAUUUACGUUUAUUAUGUUAAAAGACUAUACAUUUUAUUUCUAUAAAAAAAUCUUAAAAAUAGAUAUCAUUGCUUAUAUAUACUUCAACUUAGCAUCUCCAACUUUAUAUGUAAUAUUUGUGAAAGGAUAGAUUUCAAUCUUAAAAGUCAAUAAUAUAUGAGUAUAUUAUAUUAUAAAACAUAAAUAUCUCUUUGGAUAAUCACCAAGUUGUAGUUCUCUGUGUAAAACUUGAGCACUACAAGACAAUAUUCUAGAUGUGCCUUUGGAUAUUGUAUUGGGUUACUUCAGCAUUUGGCUCCGCAAUAGUGUCAUAUGGAUAUUUAUGCAAAUUUCGAAGGUGAUAUAUUACAUUGGAUUUUUUGUUAUGUGAUCAUUUGUAACUUGUAAAAUUCAUUAUUGUAUUAUUCAUUGUCCGUCGAGUAUUUGUUGAGAUAUCAAUUUAUGGAAUCCUGAGUUUAAUACUUUUAUUAAUUUAUUUUUUUAUAAAUUCUUAAAGAAUCCUACAUAUGAUUUAGAUAAAAUCAAAUAAAUCGUAUUCAGACUUGGCAUGUAAGCACCAACAUUGAAGAAAAUAAAUAAAAAUAUUUAAAUAUAUAUUUAUGAAGAAUAAAAUAAAAUUUUGUAUUACUUAAUCAUAUCCUACAGAUCUACGAUCUUCACCAUCAAACCAGAAAAAAAAAAACCGGCAUAUCUCUCUAACGUAGCCGUCGCAUUGGCCAGGCGGAUGUAUAUAAACCGGCAUGUCUCCCAACACGUUUCAAUGUGUCGACCGCCACGCCAUAUCCUUAUCCGUUCCUCUUUAAUUAUUGACCAGACCACCAUCCGUGAUCGUCGCCGGUCACGUCUUCGUCAUCGAGAUGCUCUACACGACCCUCAUCACGUGAUACACGUUUUCCACGAGGAAGCCACGGACGAGGGCGGUACACCUCCACUCCACCCCGACAUCACAGCCAUGGCGAUCCGCUAUAAGUAGCCUCUCUCCCUCUUCCCCAACAUCAUCUUCUGCAGAAGAAAGGGAGGAGUUUGGUGCACACAACACGAUGGUGAGAGGCUCUAUGUAAACACAUAGUUUUCUGUCUGUGGAACAGUUUGGUUACCUCUGUGCGUCGUGUGUUGACGUCGAUGGUGAUGCAGAACGGAGCGAUCAAGGUGGGAGCAUGGGGAGGGAACGGAGGGUCGGCCUUCGACAUGGGACCUGCUUAUCGUAUCAUCAGCGUCAAGAUUUUUUCCGGAGACGUGGUCGACGCCAUGGACGUCACCUUCGCCUACUACGGGAAGACGGAGACCCGACACUUCGGUGGCAGCGGUGGUACUCCCCACGAGGUUUGCAUCACUACCAAUCUCAAAGCUCAUAGCUGACUGCAGAUUAAUGGCUUCUACUUGGAUGCAGAUUGUUCUGCAGGAGGGCGAAUAUCUGGUGGGAAUGGCGGGAGAAUUUGCUAACUACCAUGGAGUGGUGGUGGUGGGGAAGCUUGGCUUCAGCACCAACAAGAAAUCCUACGGACCUUUCGGCAACACGGGAGGGACUCCCUUCUCCCUUCCUAUAGCAGCAGGCAAGAUCUCUGGCUUCUUCGGCCGCGACGGCCAGUUUCUUGACGCCAUUGGGGUCUACUUGGAGCCAUAAUUGGACACUGCAGUAAAUCACAAGAGUUGGUAUGUGCUACUUUGAGUGAUGAGAUGAACAAUGUCUGCAAUAAAUGGAUUGGUGUUUGCCAUCCCCAGCUGUUGUUGGAUGUUGCUUGGAAUAAUAAUGAUAUGGUGUGUUAUUAUCAGAGCAAUUGCAUCACUGAUUGGUUUGAGACUUCAGCCUUUAGGAUCGCAUAAAUAUAUAAACGAAAAUAAAUUAAUUUGAUGUAGAUGGUGAUUGGAGUAAUAAUUUUUAGGGUAGUGUUUUCGGGUUGGUUCGUAGGUUGACUCGACAGUGAUGUUAUAUGAGCACUCAUGGAUAAGGAUUUUUCAGCGUAAUUGACUAGCUUUAAACCGUUUAUCAUGUGAUUAUUCAUAAAAUUAAAAUUUAUAUUUUACAUUAUCUAUCUAAUGUUUAUCGUAAUAUUUAUUUAUGAGAUCUCGAGUUUAAUAUUUUUAUUAAUCUGUUUUCUUUUUUGUAUGUCCCUAGUGGACCUGAUGAGAUUAUGGGAAGACUAACAUUUUUCGAAUGAACACACAAGUGUGUGAUGCAACUUACGUAAAAUCAACUAAAUUGGUGAGUCUCUAAUUAUAUGUAUAACCAUCAACUUAGAAAAAAAAAAUAAAAAGAUCCGAUACAAAUGAGAUAAUAAUAUAUGUAUGAUAGUAAACGGUAAGGGAUCCUUUACUCUAAAAAGAUAACCCUUUACUCUAAAAAGAUAACCCAUUCGAUCAAAGAAUUAUUUAAUCUUUACAUAAAAAAAGAGUUUUGAUCUUUCACUGCAAGUUCUUUGUUACAUCAAAAGUACUAGAAAAUUAGGAUCCCACUAGCAAAUCAGCAUCGUUUCACAAAGUACAGUUUGGGGGCAAAGAUCCAAAUGUCGUACAAGCAGAUGAACAUAAAGAUAUCGGGACUUUGUGUUUUUGGGUCCGACAUGCAAUAACUCAUCAUUGAUUUCACGAGAGCAAGUUAUGGUUCACAUCAAAGGAGGAAAUGGACAUGCUAUCACUUUCAUCUAGAAUGGAGGAAUCACUACAGGAAAUGCCAAGUCAUGAAAAAUAUAGUAGAAAAUAUUUUCUUUGGAGUCAAUUGGAGAUUCAGUAAGACUGAUGCAAGAUUUCGGGUCUGAAUAACACUCGUCGGAGUGUCCCUUCCAAACGAAGAUUUGAAACAUACAAAAUUAGAAGAUUAUUUCUAUUAUAGAAUGGAAAUAUUGUGGAGCUCAGUGGUACAUCAAAUUUGGGCUCAUCAACAUAGUUUAAAUUUGAUCUAUAGUGAUGUAUGUGGUCACAUAUCAACUCAUGUCAUAAGUGGUUACUCCUACUUUAUUACUUUCAUUGAUGAUUUCUCUAGAUACAGAUAUGUAUACUUGAUAAAGUAUACGUCUGAAACCUUCGAGAAAUUUAAGAAGCAUAAGAAUGAAGUAGAGAACUAGAUUAUAAAGAGUAUCAAAACUUUUCGAUCAGAUCGAAGAGGUGAGUACUUGAGUAUAGAGUUCACCUGGUUCCUCAACGACCGUGAGAUUCGAUCUCAAUAGACAUCUCCUUAUAUACCUCAGUUUAAUUGUGUAUAUGAAAGGAGGAAUCACACACUAUUAGACAUGAUAUGGUCCAUAAUGAGUUUCGUUGACCUACUCGUCUCAUUUUAGUAAUAUACUAUAGAGUCUGCAGUUUACCUUAUGAAUAGAGUUCAAACUAAGUCGGUAGUGUCUAUACCAUAUGAGAUAUAGAAAGAAGAAGCUAGAUCUUAAGGUUAUUAAGAUUUGAGGCUACCCUCCCCAUGUUAAAAGAUACAACCCCGACAAGUUGGAAUCUAAGACGGAGAAGUAUAAGUUCGUAGGAUACCCUAAAGAAACUUGUAAGCACUAUUUCAAUUACCCCGAGGACCAAAAGUUCUUUGUAGCUAAGAACGUAGUAUUCUUUUAGAAGAAACACAUUCUUGGUGGAGACAAUGAGAGUAUGAUAGAGUUGAGCGAGGUUGGAGAACCUAGCUCAAGCACCAUUCCAUAACUAGAGUCUAUUCAGUUAUCUAGCACAUAAGUUCCGACUUUACGUAGGCUUGAUUAAAUACCACAUCAUCUUGGGAUAUAUGUGAGAUAUAUCAGAGGAGGGGAUGUUGAGAAUAUUGAUCCUCCGAUAUAUUAGAGAGAUUGUGGCCCGAGGAGAUGCAGUAGUGAAAAAAGUUCAAUCCGAAAAUAAUAUCACAGAUAUACUAACAAAGUCAUUGUCUUAGAUUAUCUUUGAGCAUCAUAGGGGUCUGAUAAGGAUCAGACACGUAGGUAAUUGACUCUAGGUCAAGUGGGAGAUUACUAGUCAUAUAUGUCCCGCAAGUCAAUCAUAUGAGUGAUGACACGUGUAACAUGAUAUAGUCUUUUUGCUUAUUAUUAUUAUUAUUAUUAUUAUUAUUAUUAUUAUAUUUUUUUUACUUUAUAUUGUUUUUUGCAUACAUAUAUUAUGAUAUUCGUGGAUAUAUGCAAUGAGAAUCGAAUCAUGAUGAUAUUACGAUAAUGAGACUGAUUUACUUUUAAACACACAUUAAAUAAUCCCAGUUAUAGGUUACUUGAGAGUGACAUUGAGAUAACCAGAUAGACUAUGUACUAUAUACUCAUACAUAUAAUAGAAGCGAUUAAUCUUAUAGCUAUUCAUGCAGGGGUACUAAGUUACAAUGUAGGUGAUCAUUGGAGAAUGAGUCUACUGAUUACUCCGCUUAUAGAAUGUUGGAUGGUUGAUGAUAUCUCAUUAUCAGACAACGAUUCCGUCAUCUCAGUGAUGUAUCUGAUCCUUAGAUUUAAGACACUAAGGAUGUCCUGUAUGAGUACUGCACUCUUUGAUACCAAACUUAUAGGCCUGAAAGUUUCAGAUCUAGUGCAUCCAAUUAUCGAGAGUGACAGCUAACAUUACGAGGGCUAUUGAGUGUCGAUAGAGGAUCAUCCACUUUCGGUGUUAUGAGAGGAAUAUCUCAUGUGUUCUUGCUCAAGAAAAUCACUAACCAAGGUCAUUCAGAUUAAAAAAGAAAAAGUUCUCCAAAAGAAUUCGAUUAGAGUGAGGCUCAAGUAAAAACCAUAUGAGGCUAAUAGCACCAUACCCAGUAUACGAUCUCUGAAAAAUUAGAUGGAUGAGAGAUUAUAGAUACACGAUAACUAAGGAUAGAUAUGUUCAAAGAAUUGUAUUCCUCUGUAUCGUCUGGGGACUGCAGCGUAGUGGCAUAGUAUAUUUGUAGUCGAUAAGUCGAGUGAAUUAUUAUGGAGAAAAUAAUUCACUGAGCUACAUGGAGUUCUGAUAGGUACGACUCGCGACUAGCUCGAUAUUGAGCCUAGAAGGUUACACACAUAUGGUAAGUGUUGUAAUGAGUGGAGAUUCAGAUUUGAGAUAUCCGCCAAAGCCUAUAUCUUAUUGGAUAUCCAAUAAGCUUCUGAAUUAUUGGAUCCUAUGGAUGAGAUCCAAUAAGAGACAAUGAGAGAUUAUUGGAUAGAGAUCUUAUUGGGAAAUCUAGGGUGACAUCACAUGCGCAGCGGAAGAAUAGAAAAUAAAAUCCUAGAAUUUCUCACAGAAAAUAAGAUUUCAUUAUCGUGUAAAGAUUUAUGCGCAAAAACUCAUGAAACUAAAAACUGCACAUAUAAGAAAGAUGUGUUACCUAGAGAGAUUGUAUAUUUCUAAAAACUUACAGAUCUAUGGAAGAGAAUGAAGGAGGUUAACUAUCCUCCUCUUUGGCGGUGAUCCACAUGACAGGGGUUACGAAGAUGCUCAUCAAAUUGUUGCCCAAAUCUCUUCCUCACGUGCACCACGUAAUCAAAAAGCGGUUGCCCCUUCUUGCUAUACACACGCCCCAAAUAGGGGCUACAGUAUGAGGAGGAGAGAGAGAGGGGAGAAUAGGAGGUGACAGUAAAAAAAAACUCAACCCAUGGCUCUUUGGUUCCCUCCUAUUUAUAUAGGUCCCUUGUUAACUUAACUCAUGUGGAUCUUAUCAUAUUGGGUACUAGAUCUUUAUCAAAUUACUCAAACCUUUUAGAUUAGUGGGUCACUACCAAAUAAUCUCUUAUUGGCUCUAAUUGGAUCUCAUCCAUAGUAUCCAAUAAUUCAGGGGCUUAAUGAAUAUCCAAUAAGAUAGGGACUCCUGUGGACAUCUCAUAUCCUAACCUCUACUCGUCACAACACCUACCAUAUGUGUGAAACCCUUUAGGCCCAAUAUCGAGCUGAUCGGGAGUCAUACAUAUCAUAACUCCUUUUGGCUUAGUGAAUUAUUAUCUCCAUAAUAAUUCACUCGACUCAUCGAAUACGAAUUUAUUAGGCCACUACGCCGUAGCCCUCAGAUGAUAUAGGGGAAUCCAAUCUUUUGGACCUAUCUGUCUUCAGUUAGUAUGUAUUUAUAGUCCAUCGUCCAUAUAAUGCCCCAAAGACCGUAUACCGAUCAUGGUAAUGUUAAGCUCGUACAAUUUCUACUCGAGUCUCACUCUAAUCGAAUUCUCUCGAAGAACUAUUUCUCUCUAAAUCCGAAUGACACUGGCCAAGGAUUUGUUUGAGUAAGAACACAUGAGAUAUUUGUCUUAUGACACUAAGAGUGAAUGAUCCUCUAUUGACACUUAAUAACCCUCGUAAGGUUGGCUACCACUCCCAAGAACCGGUUAUACAAGGUCUGAAACUUAUAGACAUAUAAAUCUGGUAUCAAAGAGUAGAGUACUCAUACAAGACAUCCUUGGUGUCUCAAUUUUAAGGACUAGAUGCACUAUUGGGAUGACGAAAUCACUGUUUAACAAUAAGGCAUCAUCAACCAUCCAGCAUUUUGUGAGCGGAUCAAUCAGUGAACUAAUUCUCUAAUGAGCACUUGUACUGUAUCUUAGUAUCCCCACACGAGCAGCUAUGAGACUAGUUAUCUUCAUCAUAUGAACAGGUAUAUGGUACACUAGUCUGUCCGGUUAUCUCGAUGUCCCUCUCAAGUAACCUAUGAUCGGGAUUAUUAGGGUCUAUAUUUAAAGGUAAAUCGGUCUUAUUAUCAUGAUCUCAUCAUAAUCUAAUUCCUAUUGUACAAAUUCGUGGACGUCACAAUAUACUCAUGCAACAAACAAUAUAAAGUGAUAAAAUAUCAAAUAAUAUAAUAAGUAAAAAGAAUGUGUGUCAUGUCACACAUGUCAUCACUCAUGUGAUUGGCUUGUAGGGCACUUAUAACUAGCAGAUCCACUAAUCUAAGAGGCUUAGAUAAUUGGAUAGAGAUCCAAUAUCCAAUAUGACAAGAUCCGUUAGAGUUGAGUUGACUUAUGGCCUCUAUAAAUAGGAGAGAACUAAAUGACCAUAGGCUAAGCCUUAUUAGUUGCCAUCUUAUAUUAUUCUCUCCCCUUCUCCUCAACCAUUGUGGAGAUUUUGGCAACGAUUACCAUUAGAGAGGAGGAUAGUUGACCUCCUUCAUCAUCUUCCAUAUAUAUGUAGGAAUUCGAGGAUAUACGAUCUCCCUAUGUAACAAAAUCUCAUUUAUACGUAUAGUUUUCGAUUUUACGAGUUUUUACGCGUCAAGCUUCGCAAGAUGACAAACACCUUUUAAGAAAUUUGAGAUUUUUAUUUUUUAUUUCUUCCGUUGCGUAUACGAUGUCGUCCCUAGAUUUCUCUAUAAUAGUAUCGUAUUGACACUUAUGCAUAGGGACUUUGGGAGAUGAUAUGUUAUAUUGGAUUCCUGCAUCAUUUGUAGUUUGUAAAAUUCAUCUUUGUAUUAUGCAUUAUCCGUUACUAAGAUAUUGAAAUCUUGAGUUUAAUGUUUCUAUUAAUUUAUUUUUUUAUAAAUUCUUAAAGGAUCCUACAAGUUAAUCCCUAUUUAUGAAUAUACAAACAUAUGACUUGGAUAAAAUCAAAUAAAAUCAAAAGUCUCUAUUUAUACUUAACAUGUAAGCACCAACAUAGAAGAAAAUAAAUAAUAUAUAUAUAUAUAUAUAUAUAUAUAAAUAUAUAUUUAUGAAGAAUAAAAUAAAAUUUUGUAUUACUUAUUCAUAUCCUACAGAUCUACGAUCUGCACCAUCAAACCAAAAAAAAAAGGGGCAUAUCUCUCCAGCGUAGCCGCGUAUUGACCAACUGGAUGUAUAUAAAUAUAUAUGCAUAUGAUAGAGUGUGUCUGUGUAUAUAUACCCCAUAUAAACUCUCAUGUCUCCCAACACGUUUCCAUGUGUCGACCGCCACGCCAUAUCCUUAUCCGCUCCUCUUUAAUUAUUGACCACACCUCCAUCCGUGAUCGUCGCCGGUCACGUCUUCGUCGUCGAGAGGCUCUACACGACCCUCAUCACGUGAUACACGCUUUCCUCGAGGAAGCCACGGACGACGGGGUGGGCGGUUCACCUCCACUCCACCCCGACAUCAGAGCCAUGGCAAUCCGCUAUAAGUAGCCUCUCUCCCUCUUCCCCAACAUCAUCUUCUGCAGAAGAAAGGGAGGAGUUUGGUUUACACAACACGAUGGUGAGAGGCUCUCUAUACACACAUAGUUUUCUGUCUGUGGAAUAGUUUGGUUACCUCCGUGCGUUGUGUGUUGACGUCGAUGGUGAUGCAGAACGGAGCGAUCAAGGUGGGAGCAUGGGGAGGGAACGGAGGGUCGGCCUUCGACAUGGGACCUGCUUAUCGUAUCAUCAGCGUCAAGGUUUUUUCCGGAGACGUGGUCGACGGCGUGGACGUCACCUUCACCUCCUACGGGAAGACGGAGACCCGACACUUCGGUGGCAGCGGUGGUACUCCCCACGAGGUUUGCAUCACUACCAAUCUCAAAGCUCAUAGCUGACUGCAGAUUAAUGGCUUCUACUUGGAUGCAGAUUGUUCUGCAGGAGGGCGAGUAUCUGGUGGGAAUGACGGGAGAAUUUGCUAACUACCAUGGAGUGGUGGUGGUGGGGAAGCUUGGCUUCAGCACCAACAAGAAAUCCUACGGACCUUUCGGCAACACGGGAGGGACUCCCUUCUCCCUUCCUAUAGCAGCAGGCAAGAUCUCUGGCUUCUUCGGCCGUGGCGGCAAGUUUCUUGACGCCAUUGGUGUCUAC
rnacentral:lncRNA from 1 species